GCGGGGCCCUUCGCCGGUGUCGGCGCCUGGACCGGCUCCGGAGGCGGGCUCGUGCGGGCGGCGGCGCGAGGGCAGCCCCAAGCCCUGGGUCCCGGGGCCGCGCCCCCGCCCACGCGAGUGAGAAAUCGGCCUUGGACAAGAUGGAAGGGGAGAAGCGGCCAGCGCCCUACGAGGGCCUGUUUGCCGACGGGCACCUGGUCCUCUGGACGCUGUGCUCGGUGCUGCUGCCCGUGUUCAUCACCUUCUGGUGCAGCCUCCAGCGGUCGCGCCGGCAACUGCACCGCAGGGACAUCUUCCGCAAGAGCAAGCACGGUUGGCGCGACACGGACCUGUUCAGCCAGCCCACCUACUGCUGCGUGUGUGCGCAGCACAUUCUGCUGGGCGCCUUCUGCGACUGCUGUGGGCUGCGCGUGGACGAGGGCUGCCUCAAGAAGGCCGACAAGCGCUUCCCGUGCAAGGAGAUCAUGCUCAAGAGUGACAGCAGGGCCCUGGACGCCAUGCCCCACCACUGGAUCCGGGGCAACGUGCCCCUGUGCAGCUACUGUGUGGUCUGCAAGCAGCAGUGCGGCAGCCAGCCCAAGCUCUGCGAUUACAGGUGCAUUUGGUGUCAGAAAACAGUACAUGAUGAGUGCAUGAAAAAUAGCUUGAAGAAUGAAAAAUGUGAUUUUGGAGAAUUUAGAAACCUCAUCAUCCCCCCAAGUUAUUUGACUUCUAUUAAUCAGAUGCGUAAAGACAAAAAAACGGAUUAUGCGGUGCUAGCCUCUAAGCUUGGAAGGCAAUGGACCCCGUUAAUAAUCCUGGCCAACUCUCGUAGUGGAACGAACAUGGGAGAAGGGCUGCUGGGAGAAUUUAGGAUUCUCCUAAACCCAGUCCAGGUUUUUGAUGUAACUAAAACCCCCCCCAUCAAAGCCCUGCAGCUUUGCACUCUUCUUCCCUGUCACUCAGCCCGCGUGCUUGUCUGUGGGGGGGACGGCACUGUGGGCUGGGUCCUGGAUGCGGUGGAUGAAAUGAAGAUUAAGGGACAAGAGAAGUACAUUCCCCAGGUCGCGGUCUUGCCUCUGGGAACAGGCAACGAUCUGUCCAACACCCUGGGCUGGGGCACAGGGUAUGCCGGGGAGGUCCCGGUCGCGCAGGUCUUAAGAAACGUGAUGGAAGCGGAUGCGAUUAAACUGGACAGGUGGAAGGUUCAAGUAACAAAUAAAGGGUACUACAACUUAAGAAAGCCCAAGGAAUUCACUAUGAACAACUAUUUUUCCGUUGGACCUGAUGCUCUCAUGGCUCUCCAUUUUCAUGCUCACCGUGAGAAGGCGCCAUCUCUGUUUUCUAGCAGAAUUCUUAAUAAGGCUGUUUACUUAUUCUAUGGAACCAAAGACUGUCUAGUACAAGAAUGUAAAGAUUUGAAUAAAAAAGUUGAGCUAGAGCUGGACGGCGAGCGAGUCGAACUGCCCAACCUGGAAGGCAUCAUAGUUCUGAACAUCGGCUACUGGGGCGGCGGCUGCAGACUGUGGGAAGGGAUGGGAGACGAGACGUACCCUCUCGCCAGGCAUGAUGACGGUUUGCUGGAGGUCGUUGGCGUGUACGGCUCUUUCCACUGUGCUCAGAUCCAAGUGAAACUGGCAAACCCCUUUCGAAUAGGACAGGCACACACAGUGCGGUUGAUUUUGAAGUGCUCCAUGAUGCCAAUGCAGGUAGAUGGGGAGCCGUGGGCCCAGGGGCCCUGCACCGUGACCAUAACUCACAAGACGCACGCCCUGAUGUUGUAUUUCUCUGGAGAACAGACGGAUGAGGACAUCUCCAGUACUUCCGAUCAAGAGGACAGGAAGGAAACCGAGUUGACGGAUGAGGAAAUGCAAGUUUAGAGGAGAACCCUCACACACACGGACACACAUGGUCGUCCGAAAGUUAGAAAUUCCCUACCAACUGUUUAGUCUUAAUUUCACCAGUAGUGUAAUGGGUAUACGUUUAUGUAAAUAGCAUUCCAGAAACGGCCAGAUUUCCAGUUGUUUACAGACGCCUGUUCCUUUUUCAGCAAAACACCCCAGUCGUAUUGAACUAACUUUAAAAAGUCACGGAACGUUAAUUACUCAAAGGCCUGUCUCCUGUUUCUCAAAGUGUGAUCACGUUGCCUGCAGCAUCACAAAUCCCUCGGCGCUGACAGCCUCUGAUGCCGAAGCCCAGCCCCUGACUUGAGGAAUCAGUGUCUCCGGAGAUGGGACAGAGACAUCUCCAGUGUUAUUCACAGGCACCUCGGGUGCUCGUGAUACACACCUGACAUUUUUCAAGCGACUGGUCCAUACCUCGUGUUCACCCAGGGCUUUUGCUGGAUGGAUACCUUGUAGAAAAAUUGAAUUGGAUGUUCUUAAAGUUGUUUUUCCUUCACUCCACUGUGUUCUUCCCCCCCAAAUCAUUCUUCUAGAGGAAUUCUAUGAACAGUUUGUUCCUAUCCUCUCCAAAUUCAUGUAUCCGUCUAGACUCAAUUACAUAAAAAUUGGUAGCCUCAGAUCCUUCCGUGGAAACAGGUUUUGGACUAUGAUGUAUGGAGUCUCAGAGAACAAGCAGUGCUGGGGGCCAGUGGAGUGGACCCCCAGGGGCUCCUGCUUUCUCACUUCACUGGGUGCAGCCCCCUGCUGGAUGCUGCUUCAGAUAAGAUUUCGGUAGAUAAAAUUCUUCCUCUUUUUGAAAAAAAAAAAAAAGGAUUCCACUAUUUUUUUAAGGGUUUGGAAGCCACUAUUCUAAUGACUUUUAUCACCUGUUUCAUUUUCUGCUGAUUUGUACAUAUUCAGAAACCUCAUGUUUUCUGGUGAAAAAUACUGUGGUGGUCUCGGUUGCUGCUUGGAAUAUGACUAUUGGGCUAUUUCUCAAGUUUUAAAGGCAUUUUGUUGAAUAGUAAAGCACUGGCUUAACCUCCGUUCCUCCCGUUUCUAAUUUUAGUGUAGAAAUGGUCUGAGUAUUUAGUUAAUUUUAGUUCUGUAAAUACACACGUUUACCCCCACAGCCCUGACUAUAGUCAGUGCAUGAGGCUUGCAGGUAUCAAAAAGGUACAUUCCAAGGAUCUGGAGAAAGAAUUCAGAAAUGUCCCUCUCUCAUACAGAAGUUCACAAAACUUAAAUGAUUGAACCUAGUCACCUGCAGAAACGUCAGAAGAAAGCGAGUCACCUAGAAGCUGUAGAUACGAGUGUAUUGCUGAUGCUAGACACUUCCUCCAUCUCUGCAGCUCACUUCCUGGGCUGCCUCACCACUAAAGGGAAGUGUCCACCCAGAACGCCCUGAGCAAGAUAAACCGUAGGAAAUUUCCACUGUGUGGUGCUUUUUGGUGACCAAUGUGGGAAGUUAGAAAGGAGAGCUGGGAAGUUAGGUUGCUGCCCUUGUUCCCCUCACACUGUCCAGGCAACAGGGCAUCCGUCACGUACGCAGACUGUGCCACGUGUGAGAACAUUCCUGCCAGAAGGGCGCCAUGCUAUAGUCGAGGACAGUGGCUCAUCAGAACAUCUGAUCUCCUUCCUCUGGUUCUGGGCUCUGGCAGCAGUCUUUCUCUGGAAUUUGAUCUGUUUGAAGGAGCCCCACAGACAAUGGGCACUGUGAUUUGUAAUUCUAUUUUCUACACGUUUAGAGCAGCCUGGAUCCUUGGCCCUGAUCACCCGCAGGUGAGCUGGCUGAACUGGCUUUCUGAGCCCACAGUGUCAACACUUGGGAUGGCUCCAGCCACGCACACCAGCUGGCCUUUGCACUUUCUCCCCCACCCCUGGCCACAGUGCCAGGUACCUACUGCUUAAGUACCCUGUGUUACUCACUUUGUUGUGUUUGCUCUGUAUUGUCGUGGUUGAUGCCUAUAGACAAAUGAGAAUUAAAGCAUUUGAUGUGUUGGAAA